UACGGAGGGAGCUAGCGUUGUUCGGAAUUACUGGGCGUAAAGCGCACGUAGGCGGCUUUGUAAGUUAGAGGUGAAAGCCCGGAGCUCAACUCCGGAAUUGCCUUUAAGACUGCAUCGCUUGAAUCCAGGAGAGGUGAGUGGAAUUCCGAGUGUAGAGGUGAAAUUCGUAGAUAUUCGGAAGAACACCAGUGGCGAAGGCGGCUCACUGGACUGGUAUUGACGCCGAGGUGCGAAAGCGUGGGGAGCAAACAGG
rnacentral:rRNA from 1 species